CUCUCAACUUCAGCUCACAGUUCCAAACCAAAAGUGAGAAAAAUAGAAAAAAGCAGUGAUGUUCCUAACAAUGGGCACAAGUGUCGGGGCAGAUGAACUGAAAAGCUACAAAGAACAAAAAUGGAACCAUCUGGUGUGAAGAAAGCAAUACAGAAUUAAUUGUAGUGGGAAGUCAUCAAACUAGGAAAGAAAGGAGAAACAAAGUGCCGAGGAGCAAUGAAAGCAGUGAUCAGUGCUGGAAAGCCAAGGCUUCUUCAACAGUGCCUUCCAAAUGCAUGACAUCUGUUGUCUAUUUGAAGUGCAAUAAAUGUAAGCAUCACUAA